AUAAUACAAUCUGCCCCCCCCCCCUCUCUUUUUUUUUUGCCUCACUCUUUUUAAUAGCCUAACAUCUUGUGAUAAAGACAUGAUUUCCACUCACUCCCCAAUAGCUCAUAGCAACAAAAAAAAACUUGAAGCCAGUCAAUGUCUUUAUCAAAAUUUUCUUUUUAUUUAAUUAUUACCGUGUCGAUCUAUCAACAAUUCUAAUUUGAUACUAUAUAAAUAAAUUAUAUAAUUAUAUUGCCAUACUCUGUUGACCACUUCAAUACUUAUGGUUUAGUUUAUGCUCAAUUCCUUUUUAAAGUGGUUUGAUUUAUCUUUCAACAUACAGUGAGAAAAUGACACUUUUAUGCCCAGAGCUAUUCCAUGGUUGUCAGCAUUUCUCACGCACACAAGUUGAUUUUAAAAUAUUCCCAUUUAUUAGUUCAUGUAUCCUAUGCCUUUAACUUGACUCUGUGUGUUUGGGUUUAACAUAAAGUAUUACAUAUAAUGUAUUGAAAGUAUUACAUACAAUGUCUUUUAUUAGGUUUUUUUUUAUGUACUAUUUCUUGUAUGAGAUGAUUAUUAUAUCAAUACAACAACAAGGUUCUUAGGUUCCCACUUGACAAACAUAUUUAUCUCACUGUUAGACAGAAAGCACUGAACUAUGUAGAGGAAGAUUUAAAAUCAAAUUAUACAUUUUUGAAAUCAAAUAGUGAUGAAGUUGAUGAUGAAGUACACUAAGUAAAUGUGUAGAAUCACUGACAAGUAAGUCUUGCAGGGGCCUGAGUGGCAGGGAUCAUUUUCCUGACAAUACAGUUCAAUCAAAAACUAAUCAUGGAAGUGGGUGUAAUCUUUCAGAACACAUCAAUUACAAGAUAAUAGCUUAUUGUACAAGUAACUUUUGCUUCAUUACUCACAACAAGAAUAUGUUUACAAUAUAUACACUAUCAUUCUCAUUUCUGUUCAGUUCAAUUUGAAAAGUUUGUAAUAAUUUUUUUUAAAAAGUAAAAAAAUGAAAAUUAAAUAUAUAAAAAAAAAUGAAC